GUGCUCACUUUGGCAGCACAUACACUAAAAUGGGAACCAUAUAGAGAAGAUUAGCAUGGCCUCUGUACUAAGAAAAAAAGAAUGUAAAAAGAAUAUUAGAUAUUC
ensembl:snRNA U6 U6 spliceosomal RNA